CUUGUACUCCCUCCGUGCGGAAAUACUUGUCAUUGAAAUGAAUGUAUCUAGAUGUAUUUUAGUUCUAGACACAUCCAUUUUGAUGACAAGUAAUUCCUUACGGAGGGAGUACUUG
rfam:Triticum aestivum genome assembly, contig: Triticum_aestivum_CS42_TGACv1_scaffold_592955_7BS